rnacentral:rRNA from 1 species
GACCUCAAAUCAGGUAGGACUACCCGCUGAACUUAAGCAUAUCAAUAAGCGGAGGAAAAGAAACUAACAAGGAUUCCCCUAGUAACUGCGAGUGAAGAGGGAAAAGCUCAAAUUUAAAAUCUGGCAGCUUCGCUGUCCGAG